rnacentral:rRNA from 1 species
UACGAGAGGUGCAAGCGUUGUUCGGAAUUAUUGGGCGUAAAGCGCACGUAGGCGGGUUUGUAUGUCGGUUGUGAAAGCCCAGGGCUUAACCCUGGAAUUGCAGCCGAAACUGCAAAUCUUGAAUACUUGAUAGGGUGGGAGAAUUCCUGGUGGAGCAGUGAAAUGCGUAGAGAUCAGGAGGAAUACCGGAGGCGAAGGCGCCUGCCUGGCAAGAUAUUGACGCUGAGGUGCGAAAGCAUGGGGAGCAAAC